CAGGCCGGUCCAGCAGUCGAUAUGAUCAUCGCAAUGGUUGUCACUUGUAUGUCCUGUUACCAAAUUGCCGUCUCUUUACUGUUGCUGUGGCAGUCACUUAAAAUGGGCGGUAACGUAUUCUUAACUUCAUUGUGGUUGACAUCACAUUUCUCCAUCUUAGUUUUGUACUUUAUCCUCAUCGUCAUGAAGAUUAUGAUCAGUUUUGUCACUAAAGAAUUUUUGCAUGGGAUUCUCGUUAUGGCCGUCGGCGUUCUUUACGAAAGUCUUUUUACAUAUUUCACAAUAAUAGUCAACAGCUAUUUAGCGAAUUUGGACCGAGAAAGAUAUUAUUAAUUUUUAAUAUACGUAUACUUAUUCUUGAUGUAAGUGUUGAUUUUUUAAGUAGGUACUAUGUAAUUAAUUGUUAAC